ensembl:processed_transcript
GGUUCAUUGCGAUCCCAAGGUUCACUGCGGUUUUCCACAAGCCUGUUUCUGCCUAUCAUCAUGAGUGAUUCCUCAAUACUCAGAUUUAUCAUCAAGAUCUCAAUUAUAAGCUCAAGUUUUGAUGACAACUUGGUGAUCUGCAGAAAGCACCACCAUGUAAGGAAGGCCAAGACCACUCUGGAAUCAGUCAAGGCUCAUAGGAACUCCAAUCUUCCCAACUGUGAGAGGGCCUUGCUCCAGUGACUGUCAGUGAAAUGGAGUGAGGCAUACCAGGAUAUGCCUGGUUUUACUUUUGGAAAGGAGGUUGAACAGUGCAAUAUUUCUUCUAUAGGAUUGCAGUGACCAGACAUGCUACUGUAACUCUCAUGGUCAUGUGCUGGAAUUAGCAGAUAUUCAACAAUUUGGCCAUCUCGCUGACCUGUUGAUAUCAGAAGACCGCAACAGCUCUGCAAAGCAAGUUGGAAAACAGAAUCCAUGAAACUGGCAGUGACUGGAAACCAGUUGGAAGACUUUGGUCUGUGAUGUAGAGGAGUGGGCAGAGGGUGAGGAAAUUCUUAUUAAUAUUACAUGUAGUCAUGAAAAAUUGUGUUACUAUUACUGUCAUUUUUUUUUCAGUAGCAGAAGCAAAGACAACAAAAAGAAGAAGUGAUGUGGAUGUCUUCGUCAUAUUGCAUGACUCUGCUGACCCAGCAACAAAGAGGAGGGUGUUCAACAUCAUCCUGCUAGUCAGGAUUCUUCAGGAGAAGCAGUGGAUUCUUGUGGCAGAGAUGGCCAACCACUAUAAAUACCUUUCAACUCAUCCUGGUUCUUUCAAAUAACUUUCCUGCUUGUUUGCUACUGAAAAGUACUGAUUCGACAUGUGGCCUUAACGAAGAGGGGUUAAAAGGUCUAUGGAUCAUCAUUCUCAAAAAGCAACAAAAUAACUGAGAAAUAAACAACAAUAAGAUGGUGCAAUCUAGAGACCUGCAAGGUACCUGCAAGUUUUGGAUGGAGCAGAGAACAUAGAUUUUUUUUAAAUAAAGCUCCAGCUGAUGAGUAUGACAUUGACUGUGGAUUUUCUUUUACUGUAAUCCAGAAGAGGAUGACCUUAACCCUGAAUCUAAAGCAUGUAAUAAAAUCUGUAAAAAAAUUAAAUAAAAUUGUCAUCAUCUAUAA